rnacentral:rRNA from 1 species
UUCCGGUUGAUCCUGCCGGAGGCCACUGCUAUGGGGGUCCGACUAAGCCAUGCGAGUCAUGGGGCGCCUUGCGCGCACCGGCGGACGGCUCAGUAACACGUCGGUAACCUACCCUCGGGAGGGGGAUAACCCCGGGAAACUGGGGCUAAUCCCCCAUAGGCCUGAGGUACUGGAAGGUCCUCAGGCCGAAAGGGGCUCUGCCCGCCCGAGGAUGGGCCGGCGGCCGAUUAGGUAGUUGGUGGGGUAACGGCCCACCAAGCCGAAGAUCGGUACGGGCCAUGAGAGUGGGAGCCCGGAGAUGGACACUGAGACACGGGUCCAGGCCCUACGGGGCGCAGCAGGCGCGAAACCUCCGCAAUGCGGGCAACCGCGACGGGGGGACCCCCAGUGCCGUGGCAUCGCCACGGCUUUUCCGGAGUGUAAAGAGCUCCGGGAAUAAGGGCUGGGCAAGGCCGGUGGCAGCCGCCGCGGUAAUACCGGCGGCCCGAGUGGUGGCCGCUAUUAUUGGGCCUAAAGCGUCCGUAGCCGGGCCCGUAAGUCCCUGGCGAAAUCCCACGGCUCAACCGUGGGGCUUGCUGGGGAUACUGCGGGCCUUGGGACCGGGAGAGGCGGAGGGUACUCCUGGGGUAGGGGUGAAAUCCUAUAAUCCCAGGAGGACCGCCAGUGGCGAAGGCGCUCCGCUGGAACGGGUCCGACGGUGAGGGACGAAGGCCAGGGGAGCGAACCGGAUUAGAUACCCGGGUAGUCCUGGCUGUAAAGGAUGCGGGCUAGGUGUCGGGCGAGCUUCGUGCUCGCCCGGUGCCGAAGGGAAGCCGUUAAGCCCGCCGCCUGGGGAGUACGGCCGCAAGGCUGAAACUUAAAGGAAUUGGCGGGGGAGCACUACAAGGGGUGGAGCGUGCGGUUUAAUUGGAUUCAACGCCGGG